UACAGAGGGUGCGAGCGUUGUCCGGAAUCACUGGGCGUAAAGGGCGCGUAGGCGGCCUGGUAAGUAGGGGGUGAAAUCCUGCGGCUCAACCGCAGGGCUGCCUCCUAAACUGUCAGGCUGGAGCACGGUAGAGGCAGAUGGAAUUCCCGGUGUAGCGGUGGAAUGCGUAGAGAUCGGGAAGAACACCAGUGGCGAAGGCGGUCUGCUGGGCCGUUGCUGACGCUGAGGCGCGACAGCGUGGGGAGCAAAUAGG
rnacentral:rRNA from 1 species